UGGUGUAGGCACUCUUGUCAGAUUUGCAACCUGAACAGCGUGCACGCGUGAUUCUGAUAGAACCAUAGAUUCUCAAUCUGAAUCUGACAACGGGGCUCCUCGAGAUACAACAUUGUCCGUGGUCAACAUCCGUUGAACCAAAAAUUCGGCGUCUCAUUUCAUCUGGCAGCCUGCUGUGGGCGGUUGAAGAUAGUUUCGUCUUAUUUUCCAAAUUCGUUAAUCACUGAUAGUUAAUCACUAAGCAUUCUUCUGUUAUCCUUGCUAUAUUGUUUAGAGUGAUUGGUCAUUUACUUUUUAAUAUCUUUAAGAAUAUCGUUACAUCAUUUUGGUGUCAAGUGGUUUAUUUUGUUUUUAAGUUUCAGAAUCAGGACAAAUGCCUCGCAAAAACAAAAAGAAUAAACCUGCAUCAGCAGAGGAAAACAAAACACCGUAUCAAGGGCGGAAACGAUGUUUCGGAGAAUAUAAAUGUCCAAAGUGUGAAAAAUCUUGGUCUUCUGGAAACAGUUGGGCCAACACAGCCCAAAGUGUUCCGAUUGUAAAGUAAACGUAUAUCCUCAUCGUCAAAGACCAUUAGAAAAACGACCGAGGAGGAAAGACAAUCGCAAACCGCACCCACAACAUCUUUGUGGUAAGUGCACAAAAAUAGGUUAUAAUUGUCAAGUUCUGAACCUCUGAGAUUAUCGUCGAGAAAAGUCCUCAUGACAGGCUACUGUAAAUAAUUUCAUAAGUCGCAUGGAUCUGGUAUUCCAAUUUAGGGUAUAAGAGAUCUCCGAAAGACAAAUAGGGGUUACUCAAGAGCAAAAAUAUUCAUAGAAACCUCACCAGUAAAACUUCCGUGUUAGGAAGAAAUAUCAGUGUCUUUCUCAGUUGUGACUAUAUUAUGUAUCUUUCAAAAUUUAAAAAAUAGCGAAAUUUAAUGAUAAUCAGACUAAUAAAGCUUUUUCUCAAUUUAAUUUCUAUCGAAUUCCCUUCUUCAAAUACCUUGCAGUAACCUACGUGA
rnacentral:lncRNA from 1 species